rnacentral:rRNA from 1 species
AUUGAACGCUGGCGGCAGGCCUAACACAUGCAAGUCGAACGAGUGGCGGACGGGUGAGUAAUGUCUGGGAAACUGCCUGCUGGCGGGGGGUAACUACUGGAAACGGUAGCUAAUACCGCAUACCAUCAGAUGUGCCCAGAUGGGAGUAGCUCGUUGUUGGGGUAACGGCUCACCAAGGCGACGCUCCCUAGCUGGUCUGAGAGGAUGACCAGCCACACUGGAACUGAGACACGGUCCAGACUCCUACGGGAGGCAGCAGUGGGGAAUAUUGCACAAUGGGGGCAAGCCUGAUGCAGCCAUGCCGCGUGUAUGAAGAAGGCCUUCGGGUUGUAAAGUACUUUCAGCGAGGAGGCGUUACGCGCAGAAGAAGCACCGGCUAACUCCGUGCCAGCAGCCGCGGUAAUAC